rnacentral:rRNA from 1 species
CCUAGGGUGGCUCCAGUAGGGAAUAUUGGACAAUGGGCGAAAGCCUGAUCCAGCAACACCGCGUGCACGAUGACGGCCUUCGGGUUGUAAAGUGCUUUUAGAGGAGAUGAGAAAGGACAGUAUCCUCUGAAUAAGCCUCGGCGAACUACGUGCCAGCAGCCGCGGUAAAACGUAGGAGGCAAGCGUUAUCCGGAUUUAUUGGGCGUAAAGCGCGUGCAGGCGGUCUAGCAAGUUGGAUGUGAAAGCUCCCGGCUCAACUGGGAGAGGUCGUUCAAUACUGUUAGACUAGAGAAUAGGAGAGGGAGGUGGAAUUCCGGGUGUAGUGGUGAAAUGCGUAGAUAUCCGGAGGAACACCAGUGGCGAAAGCGGCCUCCUGGACUAUUUCUGACGCUAAGACGCGAAAGCUAGGGUAGCAAACGGGAUUAGAUACCCUCGUAGUC